rnacentral:antisense_RNA from 1 species
CUUCAGCACCACCAUCAUCCGGCGCCUCAGCUCAGCAU